rnacentral:misc_RNA from 1 species
AAGUCGUAACAAGGUUUCCGUAGGUGAACCUGCGGAAGGAUCAUUAACACGUAUCCAACGUUAAAACAACCCUGUGAACCUUCAAUCUUGCUCGCGUGGCUCCAUGAAAGCAGCAAUCCCUGGUAAAUCAUUGUCGACCAGAUUUUGAGUCAGGGACCUCUGCCGAUGAGAGUUACGCUCGUAGCGAUGCAAGCGACCUGGCACCCCCAAGCAAUCAGAGUUCUGAAAGCGUCUUUGAUUGUGUAAGGGUGGCGGUCCCUGGGUCACCAUGCCCCUUAAAUCACCACACUGUAACGCCGACAGGUCGCGAUAAUUCCGCUGACCACAAAAAACCGAACAACUGUUAACAAUGGAUAUCUUGGUUCUC